rnacentral:rRNA from 1 species
CAGCCGCCGCGGUAAUACGGAGGGCGCGAGCGUUACCCGGAUUUACUGGGCGUAAAGGGCGUGUAGGCGGCCUGGGGCGUCCCAUGUAAAAGGCCACGGCUCAACCGUGGAGGAGCGUGGGAUACGCUCAGGCUAGAGGGUGGGAGAGGGUGGUGGAAUUCCCGGAGUAGCGGUGAAAUGCGCAGAUACCGGGAGGAACGCCGAUGGCGAAGGCAGCCACCUGGUCCACUUCUGACGCUGAGGCGCGAAAGCGUGGGGAGCAAACCGGAUUAGAUACCCCAGUAGUCCCUGUCUCUUAUAC